rnacentral:ribozyme from 14 species
AUGUCUGCAAGGGCGCAAACGCGGGGAAAGAGGACGGGAUGAGCUAUGGCAAAACAAUCUCUCUGCGGCGCAGGUCUCGGCGGGCCAACAGCGCGUCCCCCCUUGGGGGGUUGCACGCUCCAGGCGUCGCCACCCCAGACGAACAUCACCGUCCUUGUCGGGUCAGGGUGGCCAAAAUCAGGCU